UACGAAGGGGGCUAGCGUUGCUCGGAAUCACUGGGCGUAAAGGGCGCGUAGGCGGCUUUUCAAGUGACGGGUGAAAUCCCUCGGCUUAACCGAGGAACUGCCUGUCAGACUGGAAGGCUUGAGACCGGGAGAGGUGAGUGGAAUUCCCAGUGUAGCGGUGAAAUGCGUAGAUAUUGGGAGGAACACCAGUGGCGAAGGCGGCUCACUGGACCGGAACUGACGCUGAGGCGCGAAAGCGUGGGGAGCAAACAGG
rnacentral:rRNA from 1 species